GAUUGAAUUGGAAAAAGUGGAGGAUAAUCCAAAACAUGAUGAAAUAUCAACCUUGGAAAAGUUUUUAUUUAGCUUUGCUUCACUUGAGCAACUUUAUUUGGGUUCCUUGGUCCUUGAGCUUUUGAACGCAAAUAUAGUUCUGGGUGAGCUUUCUUCCAAGCUCAACGGCUUGUGG